AUGUUCAGAUUAGCCAUGCAUGUCUCAGUAUAAGCUUCUAUACGGCGAAACUGCGAAUGGCUCAUUAAAACAGUUAUAGUUUAUUUGGUGGUCAGCAAUUACAUGGAUAACCGUGGUAAUUCUAGAGCUAAUACAUGCGCCCAAACCCGACUUCGUGGAAGGGUUGUGUUUAUUAGAUACAGAACCAACCCAGGCUCCGCCUGGCCUUGAGGUGAUUCAUAAUAACCGAACGAAUCGCAUGGCUAUGCCGGCGAUAGACCAUUCAAGUUUCUGACCUAUCAGCUAUCGUCGGUAGGGUAUUGGCCUACCGUGGCAAUGACGGGUAACGGAGAAUUAGGGUUCGAUUCCGGAGAGGGAGCCUGAGAAACGGCUACCACAUCUAAGGAAGGCAGCAGGCGCGCAAAUUACCCAAUCCUGACGCAGGGAGGUAGUGACAAGAAAUAACAAUACAGGGCAUACAUGUCUUGUAAUUGGAAUGAGUAAACUUUAAAUCACUUUAC
rnacentral:rRNA from 1 species